rnacentral:rRNA from 1 species
GACGAACGCUGGCGGCGUGCCUAACACAUGCAAGUCGAACGAAGUGCUUACAACAGAUUCCUUCGGGAUGAAGAUGUAAGUAUCUUAGUGGCAAACGGGUGAGUAACGCGUGAGAAACCUGCCUUAUACAAAGGGAUAGCCUCGGGAAACUGGGAUUAAUACCUUAUGAAACUGUAACUGCACAUGCAGAAUCAGUCAAAGCGUAAAGCGGUAAAAGAUGGUCUCGCGUCCCAUUAGCUAGCUGGUGAGAUAACGGCUCACCAAGGCAACGAUGGGUAACCGGCCUGAGAGGGCGAUCGGUCACACUGGAACUGAGACACGGUCCAGACUCCUACGGGAGGCAGCAGUGGGGAAUAUUGCACAAUGGAGGAAACUCUGAUGCAGCGACGCCGCGUGGAUGAUGAAGGCUUUCGAGUCGUAAAAUCCUGUCCUUAGGGAAGAUAAUGACGGUACCUAAGGAGGAAGCCCCGGCUAACUACGUGCCAGCAG